rnacentral:rRNA from 1 species
UACGGAGGGUGCAAGCGUUAUCCGGAUUCACUGGGGUUAAAGGGUGCGUAGGUGGGUCUGUAAGUCCGUGGUGAAAUCUCCGAGCUUAACUUGGAAACUGCCAUGGAUACUAUAGGUCUUGAAUAUUGUGGAGGUCAGCGGAAUAUGUCAUGUAGCGGUGAAAUGCUUAGAUAUGACAUAGAACACCAAUUGCGAAGGCAGCUGGCUACGCAUAUAUUGACACUGAGGCACGAAAGCGUGGGGAUCAAACAGG